rnacentral:rRNA from 1 species
GAUGAACGCUGGCGGCGUGCCUAAUACAUGCAAGUCGAGCGAAGCGGGGACGGGUGAGUAACACGUGGAUAACCUCCUAUAAGACUGGGAUAACUUCGGGAAACGGUAGUGAAACGGGAUACUUAUGAUUGAUUCCGCCCUGCAUUGGCUAGUUGGUAAGGUAACGGCUUACCAAGGCAACGAUGCAUAGCCGACCUGAGAGGGUGAUCGGCCACACUGGAACUGAGACACGGUCCAGACUCCUACGGGAGGCAGCAGUAGGGAAUCUUCCGCAAUGGGCGAAAGCCUGACGGAGCAACGCCGCGUGAGUGAUGAAGGUCUUCGGAUCGUAAAACUCUGUUAUUAGGGAAGCGGUACCUAAUCAGAAAGCCACGGCUAACUACGUGCCAGCAGCCGCGGUAAUUC